AGCAUAUCAAUAAGCGGAGGAAAAGAAACUAACCAGGGAUUCCCCUAGUAACUGCGAGUGAAGCGGGAAAAGCUCAAAUUUAAAAUCUGGCGGUCUUUGGCCGUCCGAGUUGUAGUCUGGAGAAGUGCUUUCCGCGCUGGACCGUGUAUAAGUCUCUUGGAACAGAGCGUCAUAGAGGGUGAGAAUCCCGUCUUUGACACGGACUACCAGUGCUUUGUGAUGCGCUCUCAAAGAGUCGAGUUGUUUGGGAAUGCAGCUCAAAAUGGGUGGUGAAUUCCAUCUAAAGCUAAAUAUUGGCGAGAGACCGAUAGCGAACAAGUACCGUGAGGGAAAGAUGAAAAGCACUUUGGAAAGAGAGUUAAACAGUACGUGAAAUUGCUGAAAGGGAAACGCUUGAAGUCAGUCGCGUCGGCCGGAACUCAGCCUUGCUUUUGCUUGGUGCACUUUCCGGUUGACGGGCCAGCAUCGAUUUUGACCGUCGGAAAAGGGCUAGAGUAAUGUGGCACCUCCGGGUGUGUUAUAGACUCUAGUCGCAUACGGCGGUUGGGAUCGAGGAACGCAGCGCGCCGCAAGGCAGGGGUUCGCCCACUUUCGCGCUUAGGAUGCUGGCAUAAUGGCUUUAAACGACCCGUCUUGAAACACGGACCAAGGAGUCUAACAUACCUGCGAGUGUUUGGGUGGAAAACCCGAGCGCGUAAUGAAAGUGAAAGUUGGGACCUCUGUCGUGGAGGGCACCGACGCCCGGACCUGACGUUCUCUGACGGAUCCGCGGUAGAGCAUGUAUGUUGGGACCCGAAAGAUGGUGAACUAUGCCUGAAUAGGGUGAAGCCAGAGGAAACUCUGGUGGAGGCUCGUAGCGAUUCUGACGUGCAAAUCGAUCGUCAAAUUUGGGUAUAGGGGGCGAAAGACUAAUCGAACCUCUAGUGCUGG
rnacentral:rRNA from 1 species